GCGGCGGACGGGUGAGUAAUGCCUAGGAAUCUGCCUGGUACUGGGGGACAACGUUUCGAAAGGAACGCUAAUACCGCAUACGUCCUACGGGAGAAAGCAGGGGACCUUCGGGCCUUGCGCUAUCAGAUGAGCCUAUGUCGGAUUACCUUGUUGGUGAGGUAAUGGCUCACCAAGGCCACCAUCCGUAACUGGUCUGAGAGGAUGAUCAUUCACACUGGAACUGACACACGGUCCAUACUCCUACGGGAGGCAUCAUUGGGGAAUAUUGGACAAUGGGCGAAAGCCUGAUCCAGCCAUGCCGCGUGUGUGAAGAAGGUCUUCUGAUUGUAAAGCACUUUAAGUUGGGAGGAAGGGCAGUAAGCUAAUACCUUGCUGUUUUGACGUUACCGACAUAAUAAGCACCGGCUAACUCUGUGCCAGCAACCGCGGUAAUACAGAGGGUGCAAGCGUUAAUCGGAAUUACUGGGCGUAAAGCGCGCGUACGUGGUUUGUUAAGUUGGAUGUGAAAGCCCCGGGCUCAACCUGGGAACUGCAUCCAAAACUGGCAAGCUAGAGUACGGUAGAGGGUGGUGGAAUUUCCUGUGUAGCGGUGAAAUGCGUAGAUAUAGGAAGGAACACCAGUGGCGAAACGACCACCUGGACUGAUACUG
rnacentral:rRNA from 1 species